rnacentral:rRNA from 1 species
UACGGAGGGUGCGAGCGUUGUCCGGAUUUAUUGGGUUUAAAGGGUGCGUAGGUGGCUUUAUAAGUCAGUGGUGAAAUACGGUUGCUCAACAAUCGAGGUGCCAUUGAUACUGUAAAGCUUGAAAUAAUUGGAGGCUGCCGGAAUGGAUGGUGUAGCGGUGAAAUGCAUAGAUAUCAUCCAGAACACCGAUUGCGAAGGCAGGUGGCUACGAUUGGUUUGACACUGAGGCACGAAAGCAUGGGGAGCAAACAGGAUUAGAAACCCCCGUAGUCC